rnacentral:rRNA from 1 species
GAUGAACGCUGGCGGCGUGCUUAACACAUGCAAGUCGAACGGACAGGCCCGGAUUUUGUGGGGUGCACGAGAGGCGAACGGGGGAGUAAAACGUGUGUAAAAUGUCCUUGACAGUGGGGGAAAAUCAGGAAACAGGGGCGAAUACCGGGUAGGAGCUCCUGAAGCAUGGUGGGGGAUGGAGAGUUUCGGCGGUUGGGGCUGGACUGGCGGCAUAUGAGCUUGAUGGUGGGGUAGGGGAUUACCAGGUUUGUGACGGGUAGCCGGCCUGGGAGGCUGAACGGCCACAUUGGGACUGCGAUACGGCCCAGACUCCUACGGGAGGCAGCAGUGGGGAAUCUUGCACAAUGGGCGGAAGCCUGAUGCAGCAACGCCGCGUUCGGGAUGACGUCCUUCGGGUUGUAAACCGCUUUCUCCUUUGCCGUAGCGUGAGUGACGGUAAUGGGUAAAGAAGCACCGGCUAACUACGUG